rnacentral:lncRNA from 1 species
UGGACUUAAUUAAACUUUGAUUUGAUUAAUUAAUUCAGGGACUUAAUUGAAAUUAAUACAAGGGUAAAAUUAAAAGGGAUUUUAAUUGAGGUCCAACUAUCAAAAUUUCCAAAGAAAGCAGGGACCUAAGUGAAAAAGUGCUUCAAACACACAAACGACACCGUUUGGAAGCUGUGUUCUUCAUCCCUUCCGUUUCGCACGGAGGCAGCCGAUUCAACAGGAAAAUCCCAGUGCAUCCGAUCCAAAUCGUGACCAUGUCUUCAGCCACGAUUGCCACAAUCCCGUAGGUGGAGGUGAUGUUUUUUGAAGGUCUCUGGCCUUAUAAAAGGCAGGACAAAGAAAACACCAAGGAAGGGAUGGAGAGCAAUUCACAGCACAAAAACCGAUACAAAAACCCAGACGAGAGCAAGAAACACAACCCAAAAACAGAGCCGAAGAGAGACUAAAACCUGGGGAAACAGAGAGAGAGGGAGAGACUGGGAACAAAUAAAAAAACCAGAGACAGAGAGAACAAGAACAUAGACACGCAGAAGAACAAAGACGGAGAAAAACAGAAUCAGGGGAAACAGAGAAACAAAGAACGAUAAGAAAGAAAGAAAACGAAAAGGGAAAUAGAAGGUUAUUGUCCAGCCAGCGCGCCUUCGCCAUCACCAUCGUCUUCGUCCCUUUCGUCUCCUGCACUGAGGUAAGCGCCGCUCCCUUUCCAUUUUAAUUCACUGCUACAGUAACAGUGAAUUAUAAUUCACUUGCUACUGCAGCAAGUGAAUUGUAAUUCAUUGGGCAAGCGUGUGAAACGCACGCCUGCCACCCAGCUGGGUCACUGGUCUAGACCAGUGACCCAACCGAGUUAGUCCAGCCCCAAAAAAAUUAAAAAAAUUAAAAAAUAAAAAAGGUAGAAAAAAUAAAAAGAUAAAGAAUAUGUUUGCAUGAAUAAAAAUAAUAUAAAUUUAUUGGUUUAUUCACUGACGCCAGAGUCAGGAAUAAAAAUACCGAUUUAAAUUUAUAUUAUUUUUAUUUGUUGUAUUUUUAUUUUUAUAAAAAAAUAAAAAAUGUGUAUGUAUAUAAAAAUAAUGUAAAUUUAUUGGUUUAUUCACUGACGCCAGAGUCGGAAUAAAAUCGUUUUAAAUUUAUAUUAUUUUUAUUCGUUUAUUCAAUUUUAUUUAGCUAGAAAAAAAAGAAAUAUGUGCAUUUAAAAAAAUAAAUUUAUUAUUAUUUAUUUAUUCACUGGCGCCAGAGUCGGGAAGAAAAAAAAUAUAUAUUGAUUUAAAUUUAUUUUUUUAUAGCUACGUAAUAUUUAUCAACGCCAGAGUUAGAAAUAUUCGUAGUUAAAUAUUCACUGGCGCCAGAGUCAGGAAUAUUAUAAGCAAAUUUUCAUAAAAAAAAAUAAUAAUAAACAUUUAGCAAUAUAAAACAAAACCAGCAAUGUAGUCUGCCUCAGGCAGAACGUUUAAUGGGUGAUAAUAUCUUCCCUUUUACGUAAUCAGUCCCAAAAACCAUAGAAUCUCUGUUGACCAGUUAGGGUUCCUAGUGACUGUCGCACGUGUACGACGGUGCGACGAUCGUCCGAGCACCAACCCUUCAUGAGGGUGUGGUGUGUAUAUUUGGCGUGGAAAAUAUGGUGAGACAAGGAGUUCUUUCUCUCUAAGCUAAAAAAAAAAUGGACCGGGAGUCGCCACCUAGUAUUCUAGUUACUAGGAACCCUUACUGGUCUUUAGAGAUCAGGUACGGAGACUGGUUGCGUAAAGGGAAGGUGUUAGCACCCCAACUACGCCCUACCUAAGGUAGGCUGCAUUGUUUCGUCUAAUAAAAUCUAAGUCAUGUUAUGGUUUCCUAUUGUCCAGAAUAUGCAUUACAUGUAAUGUCGUACCCCGGGUUCUAUUGUCCAAACAAAAAACGAAUUAAAUAUCCGGAAUACGCAUUACGUGUAAUGUCAUAUCCCAGAUGCUCAGAGAUAAACAAAAUAAUUUUUUUUGUUUUUUUUGAAAUUUUGGCCAAUGUUCUCUUGACUUUAAUAAACUGGUUAUUAAAGCCAAAAUGCAUGCUAAAUAUUGAUUUUUGGUGUAUAUAAAAACACAAUAUGAUUUUUUUGUUUGGAGACACUUGGCCGUAUUUUAAAACAAAAAACAUUUUUUUUUUUUAAAAAAUACAUAUAUAUAUUUUUUAUACUUUGACGAAAAUCGGGUAUUUUAAUACUGAGUUUAUAUCCUUACGAUAUAAAAAUACAACCCAAUAUUAAUCCACCUUAGUAAAACAAUGUAGGAAAAAUCACAAUAUUUUUUAAGGACUUUUUGGAAUUUUUUUGAAAGCAAAAACAUUUUUUUUUCCGGAAAUCUUUAAUGUUUUGACAAAAAUAGAGUAUUUUAACAUCAGAUUUUAUAUUUUUUUCCAACAUAAAAAAUGUUGCUUGAUAUUAAUCAAAAAUACACGGGAAACUUGUAAAAUUACAAAAAAACAAAACAAAAAACAAAUUUAAUUAACAAAAAUAAAUAAAUAAAAACUAGGCCGGAUCUAGCCCAUCCAUCCUGGGAUGGGCCUGACCCGGCCCAUAUACUGCCCAACACAGUAACUACCGAAUUAUUUUCAUUCUUUGCUGCAGAACGUGAUUCACGUUCUGCAUGCAAAGAAUGAAAAAAACAACUGAAUGUAUAAACGAAAGGCAACGGGGGGAAGACGAGUACCUGGAACGGUGGCGACGCUGGCGGCAACAGAGGCGGCAGAGGCGGUGUAGUCGGCGACUGUCCUCUUUCUUUCUCUCCUCUGUUUUUGUUCACCGUCACCUGGGGUCAGUUUUUUUUUCGCUGUUCCCUCUCUCUGUUCUGCUACUCUUCUUCCUCUGUCUUCUUCUUCAGCUUCCUUCCUCUCUUCUACAACCCCUCUCUCACGUUGUUCUCAGCUUUCUUCUCCCUUUCGGUCCCUCUCCAAAAGCUUGGUUCUCUCUCUCUCCCUCACGGUUUUCUUUCAAUAAUCUGUCAGCCCUCCCCUCUGUUUUUCUCUUUUUUUUCUCCCCUCUUCUCCUGCUGUUCUUCCUCCAUUUAUAGCCCGUGAGCAUGUAUUUUUUUUUUCAUCGUGGGGUCAUGCGGCAGCUGGUCGGGCGUGGCUGUCCAGGCGUGCCUCCCUCAGUUUCGGCGGUGCGGUAGGCGGUCGGCCAAUGUCUUCGGUCGGUGGGCUGGAGGGACCAACGUCAUUAAAUAUACAUCUUUUUUCCUUCUUUACUGCUGUAUGUUAGGCGGGGAAGAAAGGGGAACAGUGCCGUUCAAAACGGCACCGUUUAGCCCUUUUCUGUUUUUUUAUUUUUUCUAAGUAUGAAACGGCGUCGUUUUGGAUAAAACGCGCCGUUUCAUUUAAAAAUGGCGCCAGAACGCGCUAAAUUCCAAAUCAGCCCUCAAUCAUCUUUUUCUUUUCAAUUGCGUCCCUACCAAUUUUGGUCCCUGCCCCCAUAGUUGGCCGCGUUUUUCACUUUGGUCCUUGGCCUCUGAUUUAUGCAAUUUAGCCCUUAAUUGAUCAAUAAACUUCUAAUUUCUUCAAUUAGGCCCCUGAAUCAAUUCAAUACAGCUCCCUCUAUAUUCGCGCCUUUUCCAAAUUGGUCCCUGGUUUCGGAUUUUCGCAAUUAAGCCCCUAAUUGGCCAUUAAACUUCAAAAUUCAUGCAAUUAAGCCCCUGAUUUGGCCUAAUAAAUUCCUAAAAAAUAUAUUUUGGCCCCAGAACUUAAAUUUCUUCUAAUUAAAGCCCAAAUUGAUUUAAAAAUCAAUUUUUCUCGCAAUCAAAACCCCUAAAAAAUCCCAUUAAAAAUCCAAUCAUGUCCAUAAACCUCCAAAUUUAGGCUUUUUCCUCAAAAUUCAAAUUUUCCUUCUAAAUAGGGCUCUCAUCCUUCAAGAAUAUACUGCCAAAAAUCCAAUCUUUGUAUUUUUAACCUCCUGGACCAAUUUUCUGACCAUUUUCUGAACGCUUCCCCCCUUGUUAUUUUUCUAACCUCCUUUGGCUAUUUAUUUUAUUUUAUUUUUUUGCGGGGACCCAAAAAUGGGUUACAACAGUGACCAUAAUACUAGGUGUCGACUCCUUAAACAAGACAUUUUCCCCUAAAAGAACAAGAUGCCAGAAAUCUGUUCUUUUUCCAUAAUUCAAGAAUUAAUUUUUUAAGGCUGCCGCGAUGUUGGGUGUGACAGAAUGGCGACUCCGCUGGGGACUAAUGGACUAAGCUUUGCCUUUUGUUUAUCAAUUGCUAUAAUGUUUAUGUUUCUUUGUUUAUUUUUCUUGAAUUUACUGCUUUAGCAUGCAUCCAUGUUUAUAUUGUCAUGCAUCACGUUGAGAGAACACACCUGAAAAUCUUGAUAAGUGGGAAAGUAACGGUACCCCAAUGGCUUUAGCCUGGGUAAGACUCGUGAAACCAUCCAACUCUCGUUUGAUUGUUUACUUGGAAGUGGUUUAUAUGCCGAACUGAUAUUACUCAUGGCUUCUAUUUUCACACUACUUGUAAGCCUCAUAUCGACCUUUCAUGGACGAUCACUGAGCAUGCGAGAGACCCUUUGAAACUAGAUAAUGACCAACCCUUUGAUGCACUCAACAAUUAGGAUCUUCCUAUUAGGUUGUCAUCCCGUGAAGGACGUGUCUGCAUUUCAUACGCAUUUUUAAUUGAAUCAACAUUUUUGCAUAAAUUGCAUGAUUUACAUUUACAGGUUGAAAUAUAGGUUCCCCAUUGAAUCCUACAUAUAAUAAACCCUUUCGAGAAAAGACAAGUGGAAAACGAAGAAAGAGCCCAGUUGGAAGCUCAACAUCAAAAAGAGGUGGACAAUCUUAAAGAAGAAGUCGCAAGGCUUACUAGUCUACUCGAGCAGGCUUUGAGAGAUAAAUCCGGAAAAGCAACACUUAUAUCUCAGCCUGAACCUAUGCUUGUAAAUUCCUUCAAUCCAUAGAAUUUGGGGGCAAAUGGGUUGUCAUCUGAUUUUGAAAAAGCCAUGCAUUUUUAACCAACAUACCCCACGAGAAUGUCGUUUACCAUUGAUUAUACAUAGAAUGAAUCUCAAAAGGGCAAAAUGGUAAAAGAAGAUGAGCUGAACAAAUUCAUUGCCCUGGAGCAAAGGAUGAAGGCAUUUGAGGGAAUUCACCUAUAUGAUCCUAUAAAGGCUAUUGAGAUGUGUUUGGUGCCCAACGUUGUCAUUCUCAAAAAAAUUUAGAGUGCCAGAAUUUGUUAAAUAUACGGGAACUCAAUGCCCUAUAACUCAUCUCAAAUCAUACUGCAACAAAAUGGCUGAGGUGGUUGAUAAUGAGAAAUUGUUGAUUCAUUUCUUUCAAGACAGCUUGAGUGAUGUUUCCCUCACUUGGUAUAUGCAGUUGGAUAACACCAAGGUUAAAAAAUGGAAGGAUUUAGUUGAUGCCUUCAUGAGGCAAUAUAAGUUCAAUAUAGAUGUGGGCCCUGAUUGUUUAAGCUUGCAAGCUAUGGAGAAGGACAACAAGGAGUCCAUAAGGGAAUACGCCCGAAGAUGGAGUGAGGUAGCUGCACAAGUUAACCCUCCCAUGUUGGAAAAAGAAAUGAUCAGUUUAUUUUCCAACACCUUUAAAGCUCCAUACUUUGAAUACUUGGUUAGAAGCUCUGCACAACAUUUUACUGACCUGGUUGUUAUAGCUGAGAGGAUUGAACAAGCCAUUGGGUUAGGUAAAAUUGCUGAUCCGACUGAAAAAGAACGGUUUCACUGAAAAGGGAAAGGAAACUGAAGGGGGUUGCCAAGGCACUUACCGUUCUUACAUAUGGCUUCAACUAACUGUUGAAAAGAUGCCCUUGUCGAGGAGAAUGAAUGAUUGAAAGAUUCCAGAAAUUCCAAUCAAUGAUCGCUAAAUGUUUAGCCCCUUUAUAUGUUAUCAUGCCAGUAUUCAUAGCCCAAGAUGUUGUCAUAAGUUCUUUCUUGUUGAACUUAUUUUCUAAAGUUUCAAUGAAAAUAAUGAGUUUGUCAUUCAAUCGUGUUUACGAUUAGCAUUAUUCAUUUUUUCUGAGAGAGUUUUCUUAUAAAGAUUCACAAACACAUCUUUGAAGCCUUGUGCGAUCUCAUAGACGCAAUUCAUCUCUUUUACCAAAAAUCAGUUUCCCUAUUGGAGUUUUGAAAAAAAUUGAUCUGGCAUUUUGAUUUCAAAAAAAUAAUUUGAUGUUUAUUCAAAAACGAUAUUUUUGACAUUCUACUUGUAGAAUGACAAGUGAAUCAAGCAACUCCAUCAUUGAGGUGACUAAAUUAUAAAAACAUUUUGAAAAAAAGAAGAAUAAACACCCUUACCCCAUUACUCUUGAAUCAUGUGUUUUUAAAUGUAUGAAUAAUGGUAUGUAGUGAACUUGUUGCUCAUAACUCAUGAAAUGCAUCUUUGCAAAGAAUAAACCAUCACAUUAUACGAGGUCAAAGUUUAUUGAUCAUAGCUGCUUGCGCUUGAAAUGAGGAAAGGCCAUCUUUGUUAUUCCUUUCACGUUCUAAAAUAAGUACAUCCCUUGCAAACCCUUUUUGAGCUUGAAUAAUUUUUCUUUCAUAAAAAAUCUCGACUAAGAUCACACCCUACACUGGGGGCAAGUGAAAUUUCAAUGAUCAAGAAAGAUGAUAAAGCCGUGAGAAAGCCAAAAGGCAAAAGAGCCCAAAAAACUCAAAUGCUAGGGGGCAUGCCCCAAUCACAAGAAAAAGUAAGGGUAAGCGAAAUUUCAAUGAUCAAGAAAGAUGAUAAAGCCGUGAGAAAGCCAAAAGGCAAAAGAGCCCAAGAAACUCAAAUGCUAGGGGGCAUGCCCAAAUCACAAGAAAAAGUGAUAACCAAGAUAAAGUGAGUAUGCUCUAGCAAAGCAAUGAAAAAAGAAAAGAAAAAGAAAAGAAAAGAAAAAAGGGCAAAUCAAAGAAGAGCGGCAAAAGAAAAUAUGAAUGACGUCAAGAGUCAAACUAUUGAUAGUGAUCUUCAGUCUUUGAAACUCUGAAACACUCUUUGAGCCUUAUAAAUCCUUUUCUUUCAUAGCCAAAAAACCACAGCCUACGUUACGUACCUGUAGAAGUCCUUUCUAAUCAAGCAAGCAAUCUAGAACAAUAAACAAUGCUCUCAAAAUGCAAAGAAUACUUUUUCAUAAGAUUCAUGGCAUCAAGAAUAAACUACUCAUUAUUAUUCAUGCUGAUAAAAAUAAAUGUUCAAAAAGAGACAAGUUUUUCUCAUACAAAACCUCGAGCUUUUUCUCGAGCCCUUCACUUUGAAAAACUAUAAAAACAAAAGGUCAUCUCAUGACAUAUUUUCACCGAAGACCUCAUUUCCAAACACAAGAGCAAAUAAUCUCUUUUCCAAGAAAGAAAAUAACCAAGGAGUUGCAAGAUUUCAAAAGCAAAUUGUUAUUGACUCACAUCGAAAUAAUUUUUGUUUUCAAAAUGCAAGAUCAAGAUUUCAAGAUUCAUUCUAGACCCAUAUUCCUCCACCAAACUGAAAAGGAGAGAAAUGAGAGAAUGGCCUCUUAAAACCUUUAUUUGUCUAAGUCGCUGAUAGAAGCACACUUAGGGGAAAUAACCAAUACAAGGGGGCAACAUUGUGUUUAGAAGGAAAAAUUCUAGAAAAGGAGAUGGUAAUUUCCUUCAACCAGAAAAGGGGGCAUUUUGGUUUACAAAAGACAGCUCAAUCCUUUCAGCAAGUGACACCGAAUGUUUCUAGCAGUGAAACGACGAGUAAUGAUUGGUCCUCUCAAAUUAUUUGACUAAUCAAAAAAUCUUUAGCAAGCAAGUGGGUCACGAUGGGCACCGCAAAAGCUAAGUUAUGUAAACAAAUCUGGAAAUAAACUUACAUGGGCCAACUCGAGUGGGCUAGGAGUUAAGCGACAAGGAUGACUCAAAUCAGAUAGCAAGAUCUCACCAAGCAAUCAACAAGAAGACUGAAGAAAUGGGGGCCUAUAUUUCAAAUCAGGUAAAGAUGCAUGCAUAUCAUCUAAACUUUGAAACAUUGAGCAAUGACUUUUGCAUUAGAAAUUUUUUUGAAUAGAAUCCAGCCAGUGGAAGGCCAACUUGAAAUGGCGAACAUUGAAAUUGCUUUUGAAAAAUUAUCAUUUUUGAGAAUUUUUCAACCUGGGCAGGCCACCUAUGAGAAUUAGGCCACCAGAAAAAUCUCUGUAUUUUUCCACCACCUUUCAGUUCCACAUCAAAGGUAGUGCAUUUUAUAUCCUACCUCCAUUCGAGCGCGCCUUCGAGCCCUCGUCUUACAUUCGAGCGCGCCUUCGAGCCCUCGUCUUAUUUAUUUUCGAGCGCGCCUUCGAGCCCUCGACCAUCAAAGGUAGUGCAUUUUCUAUCCUACCUCCAUUCGAGCGCGCCUUCGAGCCCUCGACCAUCAAAGGUAGUGCAUUUUCUAUCCUACCUCCAUUCGAGCGCGCCUUCGAGCCCUCGUCUUAUUUAUUUUCGAGCGCGCCUUCGAGCCCUCGACCAUCAAAGGUAGUGCAUUUUCUAUCCUACCUCCAUUCGAGCGCGCCUUCGAGCCCUCGUCUUAUUUAUUUUCGAGCGCGCCUUCGAGCCCUCGACCAUCAAAGGUAGUGCAUUUUCUAUCCUACCUCCAUUCGAGCGCGCCUUCGAGGCCUCGUCUUAUUUAUUUUCGAGCGCGCCUUCGAGCCCUCGAUCAUCAAAGGUAGUGCAUUUUCUAUCCUACCUCCAUUCGAGCGCGCCUUCGAGCCCUCGUCUUACAUUCGAGCGCGCCUUCGAGCCCUCGACCAUCAAAGGUAGUGCAUUUUCUAUCUUACCUCCAUUCGAGCGCGCCUUCGAGCCCUCGUCUUAUUUAUUUUCGAGCGCGCCUUCGAGCCCUCGACCAUCAAAGGUAGUGAAUUUUCUAUCCUACCUCCAUUCGAGCGCGCCUUCGAGCCGUCGUCUUUUAAAAAAAAAAGUAAAAAAAGAAAAAAAUAGGUUGUCUUCCAAAUGACUUGUUUUCUCUAUAAAAGUCAUAUGUCAAUUUCUGGUUUUCAAGACUCUAAAAAAGAGGCAAAAGUUCUUUCUGUAUCUAAUUUUCUUUAUAAAUUUACUACACAAAGCUAAAAGAAAAUGAAAUUUUCUAAUAUCGUUGCAUAGUAAAUAUUAUAAAGAGGGGCAAUUAUCAUAACCCAAUUUUUGAACAAAUAAUAAAAAUUAAAAUGGGGUUAAGACAACAAAUUUUGAAGUUUAGGGAUAAAAUUACCAGAUUUGAGAAUAAUUUGGUCAGAAAUUGACGAAUUAAUAAGUUUGGAAAUUUAUUUAAAAUUUGGAUUAGUUUAAUUAAUGAAAUUAGAAGUAUUAAUAAGUUUGUGGACUUAAUUAAACUUUGAUUUAAUUAAUUAAAUAAAUUCAGGGACUUAAUUGAAAUUAAUCAAAAAGGGGCAAAAUUAGAAGAAUUAAUAUGUUUGUGGACUUAAUUAAACUUUGAUUUGAUUAAUUAAUUCAGGGACUUAAUUGAAAUUAAUACAAGGGUAAAAUUAAAAGGGAUUUUAAUUGAGGUCCAACUAUCAAAAUUUCCAAAGAAAGCAGGGACCUAAGUAAAAAAGUGCUUCAAACACACAAACGGCACCGUUUGGAAGUUGUGUUCUUCAUCCCUUCCAUUUCGCACGGAGGCAGCCGAUUCAACAGGAAAAUCCCAGUGCAUCCGAUCCGAAUCGUGACCAUGUCUUCAGCCACGAUUGCCACAAUCCCGUAGGUGGAGGUGAUGGUUUUUUGAAGGUCUCUGGCCUUAUAAAAGGC